UACGAAGGUGGCAAGCGUUACUCGGAAUUACUAGGCGUAAAGGGCAGGUAGGUGGUCUGGUAAGUCUGUUGUGAAAGCUCCUUGCUUAACGGGGAGAGGUCAACAGAUACUGCCAGGCUUGAGUCUAGGAGAGGGUACUGGAAUUCCCGGUGUAGCGGUGAAAUGCGUAGAUAUCAGGAGGAACACCGGUGGCGAAGGCGGCUUCCUGGACAGAAACUGACGCUGAGGCGCGAAAGCUAGGGGAGCAAACAGG
rnacentral:rRNA from 1 species